rnacentral:lncRNA from 1 species
UAGAGUGCCUUGGCUUAGACGUGACACUUCAACAAUAAUAGUGCGGAUUUAUGCGCUGCUCCAGCGUGAAAGAAAACUUUGUAUUUAGUGUUCCUCCAUCGUCCCUGCUUGCAAACUACAACCUUACCUUAACUUAAUAUCAAACUUUGUUUCCCACAUCUCUAGCUUCACCAAAGUAGUUCUGCAACAGAAAAACAUGUGGGUUAUUAUCCUAUCAAGCUGUACGUUGAAUCGUUGAUGUCCUAAAAUGUACAUCCGCGUGACCUUUCACAAGCACCUUUUUCAGUUGUAUAAUUUUCAGCCAAUUCCACAGCAGGAAUAGCAUAUUGAUGGCUGAUCUAAUUUUAGAUGAUUGAUACUGAUAUUGACAGUUUGACCAAGUGUGGCCAUGAUGUCUGCAAAUAUUGCAUGUUAUCGAAGAAAAAGGGUGGGCCGCCAGUGCCAUCUAUCAAACACAAAUCGAGCCAAGUUGACAGUGCGUUGAGCCAUCCGUAAAAAUAAACACAAACAGAACUCCAAUCUCAGUGCUGUAGGUUUCCACUUACAAUACUUUGGAGGCAUAAUUGCUACCAUGGUAUAAUAGUUUAGAGGUACGUUUACUCCUAUCCCGCCAAAGUGUCGUCGUUUUCAGGAACGUAGGCGGCAGCACUUGUUCGUCGAAGUCGAACUUACAUGGAAGAUGGCUACACUGUUUAGUGGAUCGUCUGCAAUGGAAAUUCACCGCUCAUUAGAUGAAGCCUAGUGUUAGCUGUUAGGGAUUUGAGACGUGUUCAGCGAGAAGUUAAUGAAUGUUCAGUGCGUACCGUUUCAAACUUUAUUUUUUUACUUAAUUUUUUGUAUUCUUAAAUUAGCAGGAGAAACCUAAAGUUGGAGGAUGAAACAUUUGUUUCUCGUUACUAGUUUUGUAAAACAAAUGGUAAAUUGGUAAAAUGAAACAACAUGUGAAUUAUUACUUUAAAUAAAUUGUUUUCAAAAGUGGAGAUUGAUUUUAAAUCUUCAGCUUCACAGGCAGACACCCAUCCACAAAGCCAUGGGUGAUAUAUGAUAUUCACAGCGGGCAUGACUGCAUUGUAAAUUAGUAUAACUUUUACAAAGCCAAUCAGAUUAAGAUCACGUUUCUACUGUGAAAGAGACCAUGUGCCUCAAUGAAAAUUGCUAUCUCUGUUUUCAACAUCAGACCUCCCCAGUGUGUCAUUCUGAUGCAGACCUCUUGAAAUCAACUUGAAUGUUUUAAAACAUCUCAGGAAAAAGCUGAAGUUUUAGAGUUAUUAGAAAAGUCGUCGUGUUUUGGUUAGAGUUUCUUUGCCGUCCGAUGCUUCAAUUGGAAUGAUGUUCACCUCCUCGACGUCAUUACUCACGUAAUUUAAUAUCUUGUUGCUUCGAAAAAAGUUGUAUUUAUCUUGAAUUUUAAAAUGAAAACUUUGAUGUAUUAUUCUUAUUUCGAGGUUAUAUCGAUCCGCAAAGGUAAAUCGGAUGAGGGUAUUCUUUUCCUUGAUAUAAGAACGGAAAUUUAAGCAUUAGAACAUCCUCGUCUAAUCAGAUCAAAUGCACGACGUAUCCCCCUCGUCCGGCAACUACCAUCCAACAACGCAUCCAUCAACAGAAUGUUUAUGGGUCAAUGAUUAUAUCGUCGUCAUAAUGAAAUCAGUGGUUCGACCCCCAUGAGAGAAGACUGGUUGAACUAAACAUGAUAUAUGUUGAUGAUUCAUGUUAUCGUUACCGUUUACGACUGAAAAUCAUGACAUAAAUUUUUAUUCUACAGAAUUUCAAUUUUUUAAAUGUCCACAUGUUGCAACUACAUUAUAUAGAAAUACAGUCAAUUUGCAAG